UACGGAGGAUCCAAGCGUUAUCCGGAUUUAUUGGGUUUAAAGGGUGCGUAGGCGGAAUGAUAAGUCAGUGGUGAAAGCCUGCAGCUUAACUGCAGAACUGCCAUUGAUACUGUCAAUCUUGAGUACAUUUGAUGUGGGCGGAAUGUGUCAUGUAGCGGUGAAAUGCUUAGAUAUGACACAGAACACCGAUUGCGAAGGCAGCUCACAAAACUG
rnacentral:rRNA from 1 species